rnacentral:sRNA from 1 species
GCGAGAAAGCGUUGCCGCAGGCAACGACCCGAAGGGCGAAGCGCGCAGCGCUGAGUCAUCCUUCCCCCACCACUA